rnacentral:tRNA from 1 species
GAGGGUUUAGCUCAGUGGUAAAGUAUGAGCUUGGCAGGCAUGAGGUCCUGGAUUCAAUCCCCAGUACCUCCA